UUCAUUGUUUUGAAAAUCCCACUGUUCUCCAUGUCAUCCAGUCAUGAUCCAGUGAUCAGAAUGUUCCAUUGUCUUUUCAUUGUUUUGAAAAUCCCACUGUUCUCCAUGUCAUCCAGUCAUGAUCCAGUGAUCAGAAUGUUCCAUUGUCUUUUCAUUGUUUUGAAAAUCUCACUGUUCUCUAUGCCAUCCAGUCAUGAUCCAGUGAUCAGAAUGUUCCAUUGUCUUUUCAUUGUUUUGAAAAUCUCACUGUUCUCUAUGCCAUCCAGUCAUGAUCCAGUGAUCAGAAUGUUCCAUUGUCUUUUCAUUGUUUUGAAAAUCUCACUGUUCUCCAUGCCAUCCAGUCAUGAUCCAGUGAUCAGAAUGUUCCAUUGUCUUUUCAUUGUUUUGAAAAUCUCACUGUUCUCCAUGCCAUCCAGUCAUGAUCCAGUGAUCAGAAUGUUCCAUUGUCUUUUCAUUGUUUUGAAAAUCUCACUGUUCUCCAUGCCAUCCAGUCAUGACCCAGUGAUCAGAAUGUUCCAUUGUCUUUUCAUUGUUUUGAAAAUGUCACUGUUCUCUAUGCCAUCCAGUCAUGAUCCAGUGAUCAGAAUGUUCCAUUGUCUUUUCAUUGUUUUGAAAAUGUCACUGUUCUCUAUGCCGAUCGAGUGAUGAUCGAGGGAUUGUAAUCGUCAAUACUGACAAUACGUUUUUGAUAUCUGUUUCUCUUGCAUAGAACUGGAAAACUUGGAAUGAAUUGGAAAUCGCUUUUGUGAAUGAAUUACUUGGGAUUACAAUCUUAUUUAUCUUCUCAGCACAUGUGAAAAUUGAAAAUUCUCAUACCGCAUUGAACACAAUUGGCUGGUCAUCAGGCGAACAGCCGUGAUACAUCGUACAUAAUAGUUUACUGUUGCAAUGUAGCUCAACUGAUAUUUAAUACACGCACACAUAACAGUUCGAAAGAGCUUUAUUUAGGAUUUUUAGAUUUGUGUAAUUUAGUAUAUUCUUGACUCGGUACAAUUUGAAUAAAAAUGAAUUUUGAAAAGUGGAG